rnacentral:rRNA from 1 species
AUUGAACGCUGGCGGCAUGCCUUACACGUGCAAGUCGAACGGUAACGCGGGGCAACCUGGCGACGAGUGGCGAACGGGUGAGUAAUGUAUCGGAACGUGCCCAGUUGUGGGGGAUAACUGCUCGAAAGAGCAGCUAAUACCGCAUACGACCUGAGGGUGAAAGCGGGGGAUCGCAAGACCUCGCGCAAUUGGAGCGGCCGAUAUCAGAUUAGGUAGUUGGUGGGGUAAAGGCCCACCAAGCCAACGAUCUGUAGCUGGUCUGAGAGGACGACCAGCCACACUGGGACUGAGACACGGCCCAGACUCCUACGGGAGGCAGCAGUGGGGAAUUUUGGACAAUGGGCGCAAGCCUGAUCCAGCCAUGCCGCGUGCGGGAAGAAGGCCUUCGGGUUGUAAACCGCUUUUGUCAGGGAAGAAACGCUCUGGGUUAAUACCUCGGGGUAAUGACGGUACCUGAAGAAUAAGCACCGGCUAACUACGUGCCAGCAGCCGCAGUAAGAC